GCUGCUUACACAUGCAAGUCGAACGGCAGCGCGGGCUUCGGCCUGGCGGCGAGUGGCGAACGGGUGAGUAAUACAUCGGAACGUAUCCUGGAGUGGGGGAUAGCCCGGCGAAAGCCGGAUUAAUACCGCAUACGCUCUGAGGAGGAAAGCGGGGGACCUUCGGGCCUCGCGCUCAAGGGGCGGCCGAUGGCGGAUUAGGUAGUUGGUGGGGUAAAGGCCUACCAAGCCGACGAUCCGUAGCUGGUCUGAGAGGACGACCAGCCACACUGGGACUGAGACACGGCCCAGACUCCUACGGGAGGCAGCAGUGGGGAAUUUUGGACAAUGGGGGCAACCCUGAUCCAGCAAUGCCGCGUGUGUGAAGAAGGCCUUCGGGUUGUAAAGCACUUUUGUCCGGAAAGAAAUCAUCGGGGCCAAUACCCCUGGUGGAUGACGGUACCGGAAGAAUAAGCACCGGCUAACUACGUGCCAGCAGCCGCGGUAAUACGUAGGGUGCGAGCGUUAAUCGGAAUUACUGGGCGUAAAGCGUGCGCAGGCGGUGUAAAGACCCGAAUGUGAAAAUGCCCCUGGACUUAACCGUGGGAAAUUGGCAUUUGGUGAGCUAGCAGCGACUGGAGUAUGAGCAGAGGGGGUGUGGACAUUGCCAUCGUGUAGCAAGUGAAAUUGCGUAUGAGAUGUGGACGGACACACCGAUGGCGAAGGUCAGCCCUCUGGGACAAUACUGGCGGUCAUGCACGAAGGCGUGGGGAGCAAACAGAGAUUAGAUACCAUGGUAGUCCACGCCCUAAGCGAUGUCAACUGGUUGUUGGGGAUUCAUUUCAUUAGUAACGUAGCUAACGCGUGAAGUUGACCGCGUGGGGAGUACGGUCGCAAGAUUAAAACUCAAAGGAAUUGACGGGGACCCGCACAAGCGGUGGAUGAUGUGGAUUAAUUCGAUGCAACGAGAAAAACCUUACCUACCCUUGACAUGUACGGAACCCUGGUGAGAGCCGGGGGUUCCCGAAAGGGAGCCGUAACACAGGUGCUGCAUGGCUGUCGUCAGCUCGUGUCGUGAGAUGUUAGGUUAAGUCCCGCAACGAGCGCAACCCUUGUCCCCAGAUCAUACGCAAGAGCACUCCGGGGAGACUGCCGGUGACAAACCGGAGGAAGGUGGGGAUGACGUCAAGUCCUCAUGGCCCUUAUGGCUAGGGCUUCACACGUCAUACAAUGGUCGGAACAGAGGGUUGCGAAGCCGCGAGGUGGAGCCAAUCCCAGAAAACCGAUCGUAGUCCGGAUUGCAGUCUGCAACUCGACUGCAUGAAGCUGGAAUCGCUAGUAAUCGCGGAUCAGCAUGCCGCGGUGAAUACGUUCCCGGGUCUUGUACACACCGCCCGUCACACCAUGGGAGUGGGUUUUGCCAGAAGUGGCUAGUCUAACCGCAAGGAGGACAGGUCACCACAGCAGAU
rnacentral:rRNA from 1 species